AGGAUAUUAGUUAAAAAAUAACAUUUAUUUUGCAAAUAAAAAUUAUAAAAAUAUUCA
rnacentral:tRNA from 1 species